rnacentral:rRNA from 1 species
UACGAAGGGGGCUAGCGUUGCUCGGAAUCACUGGGCGUAAAGGGUGCGUAGGCGGGUUUUAAGUCAGGGGUGAAAUCCUGGAGCUCAACUCCAGAACUGCCUUUGAUACUGGGGAUCUUGAGUCCGGGAGAGGUGAGUGGAACUGCGAGUGUAGAGGUGAAAUUCGUAGAUAUUCGCAAGAACACCAGUGGCGAAGGCGACUCACUGGCCCGGAACUGACGCUGAGACGCGAAAGCGUGGGGAGCAAACAGG